rnacentral:rRNA from 1 species
AUCUAUGGCCAUGCUACCCGGAACACACCCGAUCCCGUCUGAUCUCGGAAGCUAAGCGGGGUCAGGCCUGGUUAGUACUUGGAUGGGAGACCACCCAGGAAGACCAAGUGCUGUAGGUG